rnacentral:rRNA from 1 species
CCUACGGGAGGCAGCAGUGAGGAAUAUUGGUCAAUGGACGCAAGUCUGAACCAGCCAUGCCGCGUGCAGGAAGACGGCUCUAUGAGUUGUAAACUUCUUUUGUACGAGGGUAAACGCAGAUACGCGUAUCUGUCUGAAAGUAUCGUACGAAUAAGGAUCGGCUAACUCCGUGCCAGCAGCCUCGGUAAUACGGAGGAUUCAAGCGUUAUCCGGAUUUAUUGGGUUUAAAGGGUGCGUAGGCGGUCUGAUAAGUUAGAGGUGAAAUCCCGAGGCUCAACCUCGGAAUUGCAUCUGAUACUGUUCGGCUAGAGAGUAGUUGCGGUAGGCGGAAUGUAUGGUGUAGCGGUGAAAUGCUUAGAGAUCAUACAGAACACCGAUUGCGAAGGCAGCCUACCAAGCUACUUCUGACGUUGAGGCACGAAAGCGUGGGGAGCAAACAGGAUUAGAUACCCCAGUAGUC